rnacentral:rRNA from 1 species
GACGAACGCUGGCGGCGUGCCUAACACAUGCAAGUCGAGCGAGGCGAGUUCCUUCGGGAACAAACCUAGCGGCGGACGGGUGAGUAACACGUGGGCAACCUGCCUUGUAGAGGGGAAUAGCCUUCCGAAAGGAAGAUUAAUACCGCAUAACAUUACACUUUCGCAUGAAAGAGUAAUUAAAGGAGCAAUCCGCUACAAGAUGGGCCCGCGGCGCAUUAGCUAGUUGGUGAGGUAACGGCUCACCAAGGCGACGAUGCGUAGCCGACCUGAGAGGGUGAUCGGCCACAUUGGGACUGAGACACGGCCCAGACACCUACGGGUGGCUG